rnacentral:sRNA from 1 species
UGAACGUGUUGUCUGUUGUGCCGUAUUGUGCCGUGCGUGUUCGGUUAAAAAAAAAUAGAAGCGAGAAUUAAAACAUUGCGGCGGCGGCGUCGUUGCAUUUCGAGAUGUUUAAAACCACAAAUCAAGUGAAACGAGAAUCCAUAAAUAAAUGAAAUAAAUUUCAGAAUUUUCAAUAAAAAAAUAAUUAAAUAAAUUAGUGUAAAUUAAUAUAAUAAUAUUUCAAUAAUCCGGAAUAUGUUUUUCUUUUAAUCGCGCGUGUGAGUGUGUUUGUUUUAAGUGAUAUUGCUACUGCUGUUAUUGUUGCUCUCCUCCGUCAGUGUAUUUUGGGGGAUUUUUACGAGUCCAAGUGUCUGUCUGAGUUGUAUUUGUGUCUCUCCUCUCUCUCCCCCGGCUUUGAUGUUGAAUUUUUAAUGAAUCUCUUUCAAAAUAAAUGAAAAGCAAAAAUUGUAAAACAAAAUCGGAAUGUAAAUUUUUGGAAACGCAUGCCAAUCUCAUUAAUCAAUGAAAUUUUAAUAACAACAAAUACAACAACAACAAAAAAAACGUGUUAAUGCCGUUAUUGUUGCUGUUUGCGGGUUUAGACACAAAUUAAAUUCCGUUGGCGAAAAAAAAACAGUGGCGGCAAAAAGUUUGUGAAUUCCACGGCAACACAAAAAAAUGUAAAAAGAAUGAAUGAAUGAAACGUGGCAUAAAGUUCAAAUCCCGCAAAAAAUGGGGAAAAUAUUUCUGCUGCAAUAAAUUUCAAUCGUUCGUCGUCGUUUAUGGCUGAAAAAAAGAAGAAGAAAUAAUCUCUGUAAUAAAAAUGCAAAUUUUAAUGGCGGCAAUGUUUAAUAUCUGCUGCCAUUGAUGUGUUUACCUGAAAUGUGAAGAAGAAGAAGAAGAAAAAAAGUUUUAAUACCGCAAAGUUCACUUCAUUUCAAAACGAUUGCAAAAUUUUGAACGCAAAACGACAAGGAAUUACAAAGUUUUUUUUUUCCACUGUUCUACCUGUAACUCGAGAAGGAAAACUUCUUUCAUAAAACAAUUUUGUGCAAUCCCUGAAGUUAACAUACCGAUCGACCGACACACACACCUCUACAACCACAUGCAGGGAAAAUGUUGAAAAUUAUGAUUUGCUUUAGAGAAAAUAUUAGAUCUCUUUGCAUUUGUCUAUAGCUGAAACUGCAGCACAAUGCUGCUACUGUACUUACCUGAAACGCCAACAUUUCGCAAGCGAACUCUCGAACCACCUCCUGCAAUCAAUUUCGAAAAUUCUAAACGCAAUUAUUUUCCGUUCAAAUGUCCUUCCCAACAUGGCAUAACAAUGUGAAAAACGGACAACUUUUCCCUCGUAAACAAUUUGAUUUCUUUUAACCAAACAAAAACUAAGAAAAGCGGAAACUUUUCCCCCGCGGACAACAAAAUCAACGAAGGUUAACGUUACGGGAAAAUUUACACUGCAUUUAUGUUCCUGUUCUUGGCAGAAUUUCGGAAGCAUUAUUGAUCCAGUAAAACGUCAUUUUAAAGAAGUUGAGGAGGAGGGCGAGGAGGAAAUUUCAUUCAUUGAUGCAUGGUAGCUGUUCAUGAACCAUAACUAACAAAAUGCCAGAG